rnacentral:rRNA from 1 species
AGAGUUUGAUUCUGGCUCAGAACGAACGCUGGCAGCGUGGAUUAGGCAUGCAAGUCGAACGAGAGUCCAUGACUUCAAGUUUUCGGACGAGAAGUUGUGGAGGAGAGUGGCGAAAGGGUGAGUAACGCGUGGGCAAUCUGCCCUUGAGUUGGGGAUAACUUCGCGAAAGUGGAGCUAAUACCGGAUAUGGUCCCCCGGCGCCUGUCGGGGUGAUUAAAGGUGGGGAUCCUUCGGGACCUGCCGCUCGAGGAGGAACCCGCGUCCCAUCAGCUUGUUGGUGAGGUAAUGGCCCACCAAGGCUAUAACGGGUAGCUGGUCUGAGAGGAUGGUCAGCCACACUGGGACUGAGACACUGCCCAGACUCCUACGGGAGGCUGCAGUCGAGGAUCAUUUGCAAUGCGCGGAAGCGUGACAAUGCGACGCUGCGUGGAGGAUGACGGCCUUCGGGUUGUAAACUCCUGUCAUGAGGGAAAAACGAGUGGGCCGUUAAUACGGGUUCGCUGAUGGUACCUCAAGAGGAAGCCACGGCUAACUCUGUGCCAGCAGCCGCGGUAAUACAGAGGUGGCGAGCGUUGUUCGGAUUUACUGGGCGUAAAGCGUGCGUAGGUGGUCUGGUAUGUCGGGUGUGAAAGCCCACUGCUCAACGGUGGAAAUGCACUCGAAACUGCCAGGCUUGAGUACAGGAGGGGAGAGCGGAAUUCUUGGUGUAGCGGUGAAAUGCGUUGAUAUCAAGAAGAACGCCGGUGGCGAAGGCGGCUCUCUGGAAUGUUACUGACACUGAGGCACGAAAGCUAGGGGAACAAACAGGAUUAGAUACCCUGGUAGUCCUAGCCGUAAACGGUGCGCACUUGGUGUUGGGGGUAUUGACCCCCCCAGUGCCGGAACUAACGCGUUAAGUGCGCCGCCUGGGGAGUACGGCCGCAAGGCUAAAACUCAAAGAAAUUGACGGGGGCCCGCACAAGCGGAGGAGCAUGUGGCUUAAUUCGAUGCAACGCGAAGAACCUUACCAGGGCUUGACAUGGGGACUCUUCGGAGGUGGUAGCGAAAGUUACCUUUACCAUCACAGGUGCUGCAUGGCUGUCGUCAGUUCGUGCCGUGAGGUGUUGGGUUAAGUCCCGCAACGAACGCAACCCUUGUGGUUAGUUGCCACCGCAGGUGAUGAGCCUGCGAGCACUCUAGCCAGACUGCCUGUACAAGCAGGAGGAAGGUGGGGAUGACGUCAAGUCAGUAUGGCCCUUACGCCCUGGGCUGCACACGUGCUACAAUGGUCGGUACAGUAGGAUGCAAGACCGCGAGGUGGAGCAAAUCCUUAAAGCCGGCCCCAGUUCGGAUUGGAGUCUGCAACUCGACUCCAUGAAGUUGGAUUCGCUAGUAACGGCGCAUCAGCUACGGCGCCGUGAAUACGUUCCCGGGCCUUGUACACACCGCCCGUCACAUCAUGAAAGCCGUCUGCACCCGAAGUCGCUGAGCCAAUCUGCAAAGAAGGCGGGUGCCGAAGGUGUGGGUGGUGAUUGGGAUGAAGUCGGAACAAGGUA